rnacentral:rRNA from 1 species
AUUCCAGCUCCAAUAGCGUAUAUUAAAGUUGUUGCAGUUAGAAAGCUCGUAGUUGAACUUCAGGCCUGGCCGGGCGGUCUGCCUAACGGUAUGUACUGUCUGGCCGGGUCUUACCUCUUGGUGAACCGGCGUGCUCUUUACUGGGCGCGUCGGCGAACCAGGACUUUUACCUUGAGAAAAUUAGAGUGUUCAAAGCAGGCUUACGCCCGAAUACGUUAGCAUGGAAUAAUAAAAUAGGACGUGCGGUCCUAUUUUGUUGGUUUCUAGGAUCGCCGUAAUGAUUAAUAGGGAUAGUUGGGGGCAUUGGUAUUGAGUCGCUAGAGGUGAAAUUCUUGGAUUGACUCAAGACCGACUACUGCGAAAGCAUUUGCCAAGGAUGUUUUCAUCA